UCCCUGUAUCUCUUUGAAGCAUGGAGUUUUGCCUAGGUUAUAAGUAUAACCAUUUUGGCCUGUUUUAUUUCCUGUUCUAGAUGUAUGAAGUCCUUCAGUGCAGAAAUCACAUUGCUAUUUUUGUGUGUGGGCCUCACGAACAUCAAGUAGUAUGUGCUCAGUAAAUGCUUGCUGAAAGAAUAAAUAAGAAAAGGACAAAUGAGCAGAAUAUAAAUUCCUCCAAAAGAUGGCCCUGCCAGUCUUUUCCAGAGGAGAGCCUGGCACAGAGUAGAAAACCACAGAAAAACGUAGCUCCCAACCUGGCACAAGAAAAAGCUGAAUAAUCUACAAAAUCCAACUUUCUAUGAGCCAAUCACAGACUGAUGUCACAAGACAACCAAUGAACUGAAUUCCAAAAAAGUGAUCAACCUCUUCAAAUGGAGACAAGACACACAAACUGUGUUUGACAGAGCAUGAGAGAAAGAAAUGUCCUCUGUUAAUGGAAUGCAUUCUGAAAGGCCAGAUGUAGGCUGGUGUGAAAAUUUAGAAUGACAAAAAGCCCCAGACACAAGAGGAACCUGUGCUUGUUCACAAGCAAUGUUUUAUGGACUUGCACUGGGGGCUUCCGAGAAUGACUGGGGGAAGGGCAAGACACCAGAGGAUCUCCCUCCAAGGUACAGGGAUGCUCGAGGCUAUUGACAGGCAUGGAAUGAGGAGCCAGGCAUGAAACUCCAUGUGUUUCCCUGAACCCUUGUCUCAUAUGAAACAAAGACUUAAGCCUCUGAAGGAAGGAUAGGAAAUCUUUCUGCCCGGGGCUUAGACAAAAUCCAUCGCUUUUUUGGGGGGGGGGAGCNUUUGGGGGGGGGGGGCGAAUAAUAGGAAAAUCUUUCUUUUCCUGGGGAGAGGAAGAAACCAUUUUUAGUUCCAGGAUCCUCCGUGGUUACGAGGUAGAAGCCUGCUAUCACUGGAGGAGAGGCAAGAAAUGAUCUCUUGUCCAAGAGCCUCCACAGACACAAGGAAGAGUUGGACUGUUAUUGCUGGGUGGGCAGCCACACAGAAAAUGCUCCACUCUUGAGCCCCAGAUGCACAGAGUAUGCAUAAGACUAAGGCUGGACUGGAAGAACCCAAAAUCCUCCUGUCCUCACUGUUAGCUUCGCAGUAAGUAACAAAUAAUAGCCUACUCCUCCUGAAAAGAGAUGCAACAGGUGGUGCAGGGAUACAGAGACUGCUGAAAACUGAAUAGAGUGAGAACAUUGAGGAAAACCUUACCACACCUUAGAUCUCCUUCCAAGCACAGGUUAGCAGCAGCCCAGUGAUGGAGAAACUUGAAGUCUGUGGUUGGUUGGCAACAACAAAACACGAAUCCAGAUCAGUGACCAUCUACAUGGACUCAAUCUGUUGCUCCUCUCACCAGUGGCCUGAUUCAAGAAAAGACAUAGCUAUUUCCAGGCAAAAAUAAUACUUGCCUCUGUCUCUAUCUCUCUAUACAUGAUGUCUGGCACAUAAUAAAAAAAUUAUGGGACAUACA
rnacentral:lncRNA from 1 species